rnacentral:tRNA from 1 species
UCCUCGGUAGCUCAAUGGCAGAGCAUGCGGCUGUUAACCGCAGGGUUGCUGGUUCGAGUCCAGCCCGGGGAGCCA